UACGUAGGGGGCAAGCGUUGUCCGGAAUCAUUGGGCGUAAAGAGCGUGUAGGCGGCCCGGUAAGUCUGGUGUGAAAUCUUGGGGCUCAACCCCAAGCUGUCACUGGAUACUGUCGGGCUUGAGUCCGGAAGAGGAGAGUGGAAUUCCUGGUGUAGCGGUGGAAUGCGCAGAUAUCAGGAGGAACACCUAUGGCGAAGGCAGCUCUCUGGUACGUGACUGACGCUGAGACGCGAAAGCGUGGGUAGCAAACAGG
rnacentral:rRNA from 1 species